AUUUUAUUAUAUUUAUUUUUUGUUUAUUUAAUUAUUUAAUAUAAAUAAUUUUAUUGUAUUUUUGUCUUAGUAUAUUUUAUAGAAUUGAUUUUUUAAAUUAUAGUUUAUUGGUAAUGUAAGUGUUUUAUGAAAUAUUAUUUUAAAUUUUUUUAAGUAGAUUUUAUUUAUUGUACCUUUUGUAUCAGGGUUUAUCAAAAUUUUAGUAUUUAUUUUACUUGUCUCGAUUUGGGUUGAUUUAUAAAUAAUUUAUAGUUAAUGUAUCAUAAUUAUUAUUAAAUUAUUUAUAGAAAUGAGAUGUUAAUCGUUUCCCAAGAUAUCUAGUUUCUUAAGAAAAAAUUUAAUUUUUUAAAGUUAUUUGUUUUUAUUUAAUUUUUUAAGUAAAAAUAUUAACUUAUUUAUUCUUUAAGGGAUAAGCUUUGAAGUUAAUAACCUAUAAUUUAUUUUAUAGAAAUAUAAUAGUAAGCUUUAAACCAGCUAUCUUUAAGAUUACGUUUUAGUUCAUUAUUUUUUAUUUUUAUUUUAUAAAUAUUUUAGGUUUUUUAUUAAGAUUAUUAAUUUAAUUUUAAAAUUUUUGUAAUAAUGAUAGAAUUAGUAUAUUUAUUUGUAUGAAAUUUUUACCUUGUGAACUUAUUAUAAGGAACUAGGCAAAAUUGAUUUCCGCCUGUUUAUCAAAAACAUGUCCUCUUGUUUAUAUUUUGAGGUCUGGCCUGCUCACUGAGCGUAUUUUUAAAGAGCCGCGGUAUUUUGACUGUGCAAAGGUAGCAUAAUCAUUAGUCUCUUAAUUAGUGGCUGGAAUGAAUGGCUUGACGAGAAAUCAACUGUCUCUUAAUAAAUUUUUGAAUUUAACUUUUGAGUCAAAAGGCUUAAAUUCUUCGUUAGGACGAGAAGACCCUAUAGAGCUUGACAUUUUACUUUUAUAUAGUUUUUUGUUUGUCUUUCUAUAUUUAAUGAUGAUGUUUUGUUGGGGUGACAUGAAGAAUAGAUAAACUCUUCAUUAUUAUAUCAUUUAUUUAUGUUUGUUAUUUUGAUCCAUAAUUUAUGAUCAUAAGAUUAAGUUACCUUAGGGAUAACAGCGUAAUUGUUUUUGAGAGCUCAUAUCGACAAAGCAGAUUGCGACCUCGAUGUUGGAUUAAGAAAAAUUUUGGGUGCAGGAGCCCAAUGAUUAGGUCUGUUCGACCUUUAAAUUCUUACAUGAUCUGAGUUCAGACCGGCGUGAGCCAGGUCGGUUUCUAUCCUAAGAUUGUUAAUCCAUAUUAGUACGAAAGGACCAUAUGGUUAAAAUAUUUUUUGUUAUAUUGAUUAAUAUUAAUUUAUUUA